AUGUACUCAUUGUUCUCAGAAAUAAGAAGUGUUGUCUGGAAAUUAAAACGGGUGUCUGAGGUUAUACUUUUUUCUUGCAUCUUGAUUCUUACAGUUAAGAACAAACAUGAUGUUGUUGCCUGUGUUUUCCUUAGAACCACAGAAUGGCUUGGGUUGGAAGGGACCUCAGUGAUCAUCCAGUUCCACCCCGUGCCGUGGGCAGGUUUGACAGCUUAUUUGGGCACCUUUAUGGGCACAGAGCUGUGGAUGCCUCUGCCCUUCACGAUGACUUUCCUCAAGUACUUGAAUUUAAACUAA
rnacentral:lncRNA from 1 species